rnacentral:tRNA from 1 species
GCAGGGGUAGCCAAGUGGACAAAGGCGCAAGGUUCAGGGCCUUGUGGCGUAGGCCUUCGUGGGUUCGAAUCCCACCCCCUGCA